rnacentral:tRNA from 1 species
GGAAAAGGAGACCAACCACAUCUCCCUAAGACUC